rnacentral:rRNA from 1 species
GACGAACGCUGGCGGCGUGCUUAACACAUGCAAGUCGAACGGAAAGGCCCUGCUUUUGUGGGGUGCUCGAGUGGCGAACGGGUGAGUAACACGUGAGUAACCUGCCCUUGACUUUAGGAUAACUUCAGGAAACUGGGGCUAAUACCGGAUAGGAGCUCCUGCUGCAUGGUGGGGGUUUGAAAGUUUCGGCGGUUGGGGAUGGACUCGCGGCUUAUCAGCUUGUUGGUGGGGUAGUGGCUUACCAAGGCUUUGACGGGUAGCCGGCCUGAGAGGGUGACCGGCCACAUUGGGACUGAGAUACGGCCCAGACUCCUACGGGAGGCAGCAGUGGGGAAUAUUGCACAAUGGGCGGAAGCCUGAUGCAGCAACGCCGCGUGCGGGAUGACGGCCUUCAGGUUGUAAACCGCUUUCGCCAGUGACGAAGCGUGAGUGACGGUAAUGGGUAAAGAAGCACCGGCUAACUACGUG